AUUGAACGCUGGCGGCAGGCCUAACACAUGCAAGUCGAGCGAGCGGCGGACGGGUGAGUAAUGUAUGGGACUCUGCCCGAUAGAGGGGGAUAACUACUGGAAACGGUGGCUAAUCCCGCAUACUAUCGGAUGAACCCAUAUGGGAUUAGCUAGUAGGUGGGGUAAAGGCUCACCUAGGCGACGAGCUCUAGCUGGUCUGAGAGGAUGAUCAGCCACACUGGGACGGAGACACGGCCAAGACUCCUACGGGAGGAAGCAGUGGGGAAUAUUGGACAAGGGGCGCAAGCCUGAUGCAGCCAUGCCGCGGGUAUGAAGAAGGCCUUAGGGUUGUAAAGUACUUUAAGCGGGGAGGCGUUACCCGCAGAAGAAGCGCCGACUAACUACGUGCCAGCAGCCGCGGUAAUAC
rnacentral:rRNA from 1 species